CAGCCCAGCCAAACUGAGCAAUCGGGGGAGAAGGGCCUUGGUCAGGGAGGUGAAUAAGAACCCGAUGAUCACUCUGGCAGAGCUCCAGAGUUCCUCUAUGGAGAUUGGAGAACCUUCCAGCAGGACAACCAGCUAUGCAGCACUCCACCAAUGAGGCCUUUAUGGUAGAGUUGCCAGAUGGAAGCCACUUCUCAGUAAAAGGCAAUAUGACAGCCCGCUUGGAGUUUGCCAAAAAGCGCCUAAAGACUCUCAGACCAUGAGAAACAAGAUUCUCUGGUCUGACGAAACCAAGAUUGAACUCUUUGGCCUGAAUGCCAAGCGUCAUGUCUACAGGAAACCUGGCACCAUCCCCACGGUGAAGCAUGGUGGUGGCAGCAUCAUGCGGUGGAGAUGUAAUUCAGCGGCAGGGACUGGGAGACUAGUCAGGAUCGAAGCAAAGAUGAACGGAGCAAAGUACAGAGAGACCCUUGAUGAAAACCUGCUCGAGAGCGCUCAGGACCUCAGACUGGGGCGAAGGUUCACCUUCCAACUGGACAACAGCCCAAAGCACACAGCCAAGACAACGCAGGAGUGGAUUCGGGACAAGUCUCUGAAGUUCCUUGAAUGGCCCAGCCAUAGCCCGGGCUUGAUCGAACAUCUCUGGAGAGACCAGAAAAUAGCUGUGCAACGACGCUCCCCAUUCAAGCUGACAGAGCUUGAAAGGAUCUGCAUAGAAGAAUGGGAGGACUCCCCAAAUGCAAGUGUGCCAAGCUUGUAACGUCAUACCCAAGAAGACUCGAGGCUGCAAUUGCUGCCAAAGGUGCUUCAACAAAGUACUGAGUAAAUGGUCUGAAUACUUAUUUAAAUGUUAUAUUUCCGUAUUUUUAUUUCGUCAUUAUGGGGUAUUGUGUGUAGAUUGAUUUAAAUCACGUUUAGAAUAGGCUGUAACCUAAUAAAAUGUGGGAAAGGUCAAGGGUUCUGAAAGCUUUCCGAAGGCGCUGUAAAUCACUUGGUGCUGAUUUCCUACUGUUUUUACAGUCUUUUAUGUCCAAUAAUGAACAUUUAAAAAAAUAUAAGUUUAAUAAAAAUAAUAAUAAUAUUUUGCUCAGAAAACUGGAUGGGCCAAAUAAAACUGCCUUCGGGCCGCUAGUUGGGGAACUGAUGUCCAUGUAUAUGUUUGUGUGCACAGUAGUGUCUUACGGCUUCUUUCCCUCCUGAGGUCUGAUUGUGGGUUAUGUUGGAGAUGGAAACUUCCACUGUAUAAUGGUCAUGUACCCCUAAUGACCAGGAUGAGGUCACUAGAGUUCACUGAGAGACUGGCCAGAAAAGCAGUGGCACUGGACGGGACAUGCACAUGGAAGCAUGGGGUGGGCCUGGGAAACGAGUGUUGCUUCGUGAAGAGAUGGGACCCCUUGCCAUGGAGGUCAUGCAGGGCCUCAAGGCCACUCUGGACCCCAAUAACCUAAUGAAUCCUGGGAAGGUACUGUAACUGAAGGUACUGAAGCUAUCACCUUAUCACAGAGCACUGAAUAAAUGAAUGAAGUGUACAGUACUACUUAGGGAUGCAAUACCUCUGUCUGCCACCUGGUGUCAGGCGUUUGGUAUACUUGUUUUUGUAGCGUGAGUGACUGACUAGUCCCAAGGGCAAAUUGUGUAUUAUUGUCUGUCCUCUGUUUAUCCUCUUAAGUUCCUCAGAAUUAAAUGCUUCUUUAGAUUUUACUACAAUAUAACUGUAUGGCUUGAAAUUAUUUAUUGACGACUUGUAAUUAACUAAAUCCAUCGGUUUCAUUUUGUUUCUGCUCUAUUUUGUACCGUUGAUAUGUGCAUACUGUACUUAAACUGUAAAUGGCCCCUUCUGAUAGAGAGUUAAGUAUUUAUUUAUAUUGCAAUGGUGAAGUUGCUCAUGUCUCUAAAGAUUUCUUCUUACAACCUUAUUUGCUCAGUGGUGACAUGUGUUGAGACAAGCCAGAGACUAGAGAAAAACAACCCAGGCUUUAUGCAACAGAGCAAUAACACCUGUAAGUAGUCACAGGAGUGAUCCCAGUUUUCUCCUCAAGAGAAUCCAUCAAUAUAUUCAGGACAGAAAAGAACACAGCAUUUGCCUUUUAACAUUAGCUGAUGGGUCAACAAAGUAGCUUAAUGACAAGCAUUAGCACACCAUUAUUUAUUGAGUAGAUUUGUUAAACUUAACAUUUAAGCCUGAAUCUAGUUAAGGAAAUUACAUGAAAAAGCAUGUUUAUUUUGUCAUUUAUUUAUUAUUAUUAUAUAUAUACAUAUAUUUAUAUACAGUACCAGUCAAACGUUUGGACACACCUACUCAUUCCAGCAUUUUUCUUUAUUUUACAAAUUUUCUACAUUGUAGAAUAAUAGUGAAGACAUCAAAACUAUGAAAUAACACAUAUGGAAUCAUGUAGUAACCAAAAAAGUGUUAGAAAAAAUCUAAAUAUAUUUGAGAUUCUUCAAAGUAGCCACCCUUUUCCUUGAUGGCAGUAUUGCACGCUCGUGGCAUUCUCUCAACCAGAUUUUCUUAAUGUUUUUAUUUUAUUUAAUUGAACCUUUAUUUAACUAGGCAAGUCAGUUACAAACAAACUCUUAUUUACAAUGACGGCUUACCCCGGCCUAACCUGGACGACGCUGGGCCAAUUGUGCACCGCCCUAUGGGACUCCCAAUCAUGGCCAGAUGUGAUACAGCCUAGAAUCGAACCAGGGACUGUAGUGACGCCUCUUGCACUGAGAUUAAUUGCCUUAGACAGCUGGGCUGGAGCCCAAGCUUCAUGAGGUAGUCACCUGGAAUGCAUUUCAAUUAACAGCUGUGGAAUUUCAUUCCUUCUUAAUGAGUUUGAGCCAAUCAGUUGUGUUGUGACAAGGUAGGGGUGGUGUACAGAAGAUAGCCCUAUUUGGUAAAAUACCAAGUUCAUAUUAUGGCAAGAACAGCUCAAAUAAGCAAAGAGAAACGACAGUCCAUCAUUACUUUAAGACAUGAAGGUCAGUCAAUCCAGAACAUUUCAAGAACUUCAAGUGUAAAAACCAUCAAGCAUCAAAUGCUUCAGAGUUCAAGUCACAGACACAUCUCAACAUUAACUGUUCAGAGGAGACUGCGUGAAUCAGGCCUUCAUUGUCAAAUUGCUGCAAAGAAACCACUACUUAAGGACACAAAUAAUAAGAAGAGACUUGCUUGGGCCAAGAAAUAUGAGCAAUGGACAUUAGACCAGUGGAAAUCUGUCCUUUGGUUUGAUGAGUCCAAAUGUUAGAUUUUUGGUUCCAGCCGCCGUGUCUUUGUGAGAUGCAGAGUAGGUGAAUGGAUGAUCUCUGCAGGUGUGGUUCCCACUGUGAAGCAUGGAGGAGGAGGUGUGAUGGUGUGGGGGGGCUUUGCUGGUGACACAAUCUGUGAUAUAUUUAGAAUUCAAGGCAGACUUAACCAGCAUGGUUUACACAGCAUUCUGCAGCGAUACGCCAUCCCAUCUGGUUUGUGCUUAGUGGGACUAUCAUUUGUUUUUCAGCUGGACAAUGACCCAACACACCUGCAGCCUGUAAGGGCUAUUUGAUCAAGAAGGAGAGUGAUGGAGUGCAAAGCUGUCAUCAAGGCAAUGGGUGGCUAUUUUGAAGAAUCUAAAAUAUAAAACAUAUAUUGAUUUAUUUAACACUUUUUUUGUUACUGCAUGAUUCCAUAUGUGUUAUUUGAAGGUUGAUGUCUUCACUAUUAUUCUACAGUGUAGAAAAUAGUAAACAAAGAAAAAUCCUUGAAGGAGUUGCUGUGUCCAAACUUUUGACUGGUACUGUGUAUAUAUCAUUAUCAGUAUUCAUCCCACAGAUUGCACAUCAAAAUCAUCAAACAAUUAGUUGGUACCUCCAAAACAGGCACCCAUUCACAUCCUUGGAAAAAAAGUCAUCUCAAAACAUUAAAUGAAAUCAAGGUAUAUGGCCCUUUAGCAGAGUCGGGCAGGGAUACAGUUAGCAGGAGACAUGAAUAUGUAUAGUAUACUCUAUCAUAACUGACUAGUAGUCUGUCUUCCCUGUGUUCCUUGUUCAGUUGAAGCUUGGUGGUUGUCUGCUUGCUAAUGAAUUGUAUAUAGUGGCCUCACGGGUACUAUAUUCUCUACAUUUUCACCCUACAGAAAUUGAAAAAAUAUUCACCCAUUUGUUGAGCUAUGUUAGUUUUUUUCUUCCAGAAUCAUCAUUCUGUUAUUCUUUAUACACUAGAGGCAUUCUGAAGAGUAAUGUAUGUUUUCUGACAGAUUUGCGAAAGCAAAUCUUGUUAAAUGUGAAUAAAUAAGUUAUAACCCCGGAAUAGC